rnacentral:lncRNA from 1 species
GGUGAGGUUUUCCUUCUAGUCAUUUUGCUCAGUGCAGAGUGGCCAAAAGCAAGUUGUAUUGGGAAAAAGAGAAAAAGAGAGGAGAGAAAGAAGGAAAGAAAAGAGAAAGAGAAAAAAAAAGGGAAGAAAAAGAAAAAAAAAAACGAAAAAAAAAAAAAAAAGAAGAAAAAGAGAAAGAAAAAGAAAGGAGAAAAAAAAAGGGGGGUGGGGGAAGGAAACAAAUCAAAAAGCAAAACAAAACAAAAACAAACAAACAAAAAAAGAACCACCGGGGAGUAUCUUCUGAUUCUGUGUACUUUAAGUCCCUUGGCUUCUCCUGGAAGUUGUCGGUCUAGCUGGUGUUCUGGGGGAGGGGCCUGUUGUGCUGAUUUUCAGGUGUUAGCAGUUGGGGGAGCUGCUGUGCCCCUGCCUGGUGCAGGGCUCGGUGGGGGUUGUUUACCCAGAGAGGCCGCAGGAGGAACAGCCCCAGUGGCGGGGCAGCUCUGGAAACCUGGAUUCAGCUCCGGCAGGAACUCCGUCUGCAGGGCCUGGAGGCUCCAGGGCGGGGCCGCUGAUCUGCUCAGCUCCGGGCAGGAGCGUCCUUGCUGUCCUGGGCCCUCCCGGCCUCUGCCUGUCCCGGGGGAGGCGGGAUCCUGGGCUGUGUCCCGGCGCCGUGUGCUCCGGAGCCUGCGCUGGUGGAUUCGCGCUCCCGCCCCGCAGCCCCCUCCGCGGAGCCGCCGCCCGAGCCCCUUCAGCUGCUCCGGGUCCCGCCGGGUCCCGCCGUGCGCGCUGCAGCCCUUAGGGAGCUCGGCGCACUCUCCUGGGCGCGCAGUUGCUGUUACUGUCCCCGGGAGCCCGAGGGCAUCCCCGCCCUCCUGGGUCCUGCUCCAACUCCCUGCGAGCCCCUUUCCGCCCGGGAAGGUCGGUGCAGCUCCUGUGUCUCCGGGACGGGGCUCUCCUGUCCUGGGGACACUCGCCCCGGCCUCAGCCCGGCUCCUCGCGGGGCCCCUCCCCCUUGGAGGCCUUUGUUUCUUUACUUCUUUUUCCCCGUCUUCCUACCUUGAUAGAAGCGCGAACUCUUCUCACUGUCGCAUUCUAGCUGGUCUCUCUUUAAAUCUCAGGCCGAAUUCAUAG